rnacentral:rRNA from 1 species
UGGGGAAUCUCGCGCAAUGCGCGAAAGCGUGACGCAGCAACACCGCGUGAGGGAAGACGGCCUUAGGGUUGUAAACCUCUUUCAGGUGGGACGAAGGUGAUGCGGUGAAUAGCCGAUGUCAUUGACGGUACCGUCAGAAGAAGCUCCGGCUAACUACGUGCCAGCAGCCGCGGUAAUACGUAGGGAGCGAGCGUUGUCCGGAAUCAUUGGGCGUAAAGAGCAUGUAGGUGGAUCAAUUAGUCUGCUGUGAAAGUCAAAGGCUCAACCUUUGAAAGCCGGUGGAUACUGUUGAUCUAGAGUACGGAAGAGGCGAGUGGAAUUCCUGGUGUAGCGGUGGAAUGCGCAGAUAUCAGGAGGAACACCAAUAGCGAAGGCAGCUCGCUGGGACGUUACUGACACUGAGAUGCGAAAGCGUGGGGAGCAAACAG